GGGCAUGAACCUGGCAUACAAUGUAGAUUUCUGUGUUUGUUAAGCAACAGCUACAUUGUCUGCUGGGUUUCCAGC
rnacentral:pre_miRNA from 14 species